AUGGAAGGUAAAGAGUGGGAGCUGAGUCUGGUGAGUGAAUGGUGGAAGCUGAGAGCUGGCCAGGUGACCGAGCCAAGCCUGUGGUACCGGCAUAGCCAGCGAGGCCACAGACAAGGCUCCUGGUCCUGGAAGUACAACAGAUCAGAGACAUCCCAGGCCUGGCACCUUCCCAGGGGCCUCCAGAGAGGGGGUGCUGAGGUGGGAGUGGGUGGGUAUGGCCAGCUGUGUGACCCAGGUGUGUGUCCAGAUGUGCCCCUCCGGUGUGUACUCCUGGUGCCUGUGAGCACAGAGGACAAGCCUGGCAGGCAGGAAGCCUGGCUCGGCCUGGGCACAUGGUCAUGUGGGGUCCCCUCUCUUGCAGCCUCAACCACGGCCCCAUCAGUCUUUCCCCUGGCCCCCGGCUGUGGGACCACAUCUGAAUCUAAAGUGGCCCUGGCCUGCCUGGUCGCCAACUACUUCCCAGAGCCAGUGCUGGUGUCCUGGAACUCUGGAGCCCUGUCUGGUGCAUACACCUUCCCGGCCGUCCUGCAGUCGUCUGGCCUGUACUCCCUCAAUAGCAUGGUGACCGUGCCUGCCAGCGACUGGACCAGCCAGACCUACAUCUGCAACGUCGCCCACCCAGCCAGCAACACCAAAGUGGACAAGAAGAUCGUGCCACGCCAAGUGAAAGAAAAAUGCAAGUGCCCAGAUCAUCAGCUCCUGGGAGGACCCUCUGUCUUCAUCUUCCCCCCAAAGCCCAAGGACACCCUCACGAUCUCCGGAACCCCUGCGGUGACGUGCGUGGUGGUAGAUGUUGGCCAGGAAGACCUGAACGUCCAGUUCACCUGGUACGUGGAUGGCGAGCAGGUGAGCACAGCCAAGACCAGCCAGCCGGAGAUGCAAUCCAACAGCACGUACCGUGUGGUCAGUGUACUCCCCAUCUCGCACCAAGACUGGCUCAAGGGCAAAGAGUUCAAGUGCAAGGUCACCAAUACUGCCCUCCCAUCACCUAUUGAGAAGGUCAUCUCCAAGGCCAAAGGCCAGCUCCAUGAGCCACAGGUGUAUCCCCUGCCCCCACACCGAGAUGAGCUGACCAAGGACAAGGUCAGCCUCACAUGCCUGGUGAAGGGAUUCUACCCCUCUGACAUUGAUGUUACGUGGCAGAGGAACCAGCAGCCAGAGCCUGAGAACAGCUAUGCGAACACUGAAGCCCAGCUUGAGGCUGAUGGAACCUUCUUCCUGUACAGCAAGCUCACAGUGCCCAAGAAUAGCUGGCAGCAAGGAAACACCUACUACUGCGUGGUUCUGCACGAGGCACUGCACAACCACUACACCCAGAAGGCCGUCUCCCUGUCUCCCGAGCUGCACCCAGAUGAGAGCUGUGCGGAGGCUCAGGAUGGGGAGCUGGACGGGCUGUGGACCACCAUCUCCAUCUUCAUCACUCUCUUCCUGCUCAGCGUGUGCUACAGUGCCACCGUCACCCUCUUCAAGGUCAAGUGGAUCUUCUCCUCGGCGGUGGAGCUGAAGCGGAACAUCGUCCCCGACUACAGGAAUAUGAUCGGGCAGGCUGCCUAGGGGCUACUGAGAGAGGAACACAUAGAAGCCGAACCCACCACAGGCUUCAGUGGCUCCAAGCUCUACCCUGCCCUCUGACCCCACCGUUCCAGACACCUCACUGCCCUCUGACCAUGCUAUCUCAUAUCCCUCCUGUCAGAGAACCUGGUGGACAGCAGGUUCUCCCACAGACCCAGCAGCCUGGAUGCCCUGCUACCCCAUACCUAAAUAGCAUUUACAACAGCACCAGGAGCACCAUUGGAGUCACCGCACUAGGAGACCCUCAGAAUCAGCUGUGCAUAUCCAUUCUGGAAGAGUGGAUGGGCCAGUAUUCCCCAUGUCCAUUUGGAGCAGGGACCUGAGUUCAAACCCCACCCCAGGCCUGGCUCAGAAAGACACCAAAUCUCAAAGAUCCUUGGUGGGGACAUCAUACACCAAGGCAGGGGAGCCACUGAUCAUCAACCUCAAAAGGGAUACUCCUUGAGAAGUGCUGCAACCUUCACUGAAUGGCCCUUCCUCCAGCCCUCACCUGGCCAGUUCCACCCUGGGAGACCGCAGGGAUUCCCCCACCACUUCUAUGGCCCUGGCCUGAGGAAGAAGCUCCUUUUCAUUUUGAACUGGAGACUUGGUCUCUGGCUAUUGUGAAAGGGCUUUCCAUCCAAUACUGACCUCCUACACAGAGCUCUUAGAUAUGGGGCUCAACCCAAGGGACAGAACCUCUGCCUGCAUGGUGGCCAAGUGAGGGGCUUGGCCCAGGAUACCCACCAUCUCCCAGCCACUAACCUAGUUCCAGCUAAAGGCCCAAACUCGCCACCACGCAGGGAACCACCAGAGAAGGCCUGGGCCAUACCCAUGGACACUGCAGUGUCUGGAGGGUGCAAUGGCAGGGCUCCUGGGGUGAGGAUGGGCAUCUGUGCCAAACAGGAGGGGCAUCAGGUCUGAGGGGCUAGUGGCCAGACAGCCUCCUAGAAAGAGGCCUGGUGACUAGUGCCCCAAGGGGUCAGGGUGUGCCAAGGGAGGCCUCAUCCUUGGGCCUCUGGACAGAGGUGGCCGAAGACAAAGAGAAUGGAAGAGAGGAAAAUGACCAGAUACUGGGAGUGGGCAUCUGGCCAACAAGACUCUGAUGGAAAACCGGGCCAGCCCAGCCACAGGCACUGCACAGAGGUCCCGGGGCCAAGCAUUGCCACCCCUCUGGGCUCUCUGUCUCCCAUCUUCCCUUCCAGCAAAUACUCAGCAGAGUCACACCACAAAGGAGCCAGAGUGCUGAGCCUGCAUCUUAAGGUGGGAAGAAGAAUGACACAAAUGGAAGCAAAUCACACCAAAGAAAUGCCACAUCCAUCAGCUCUGUAGCUUCUUACCUCUUUUUAAUUUUCUGAAUUUCCUUGAUUUUCUUUCAUGUAAAUGUGUUGUUCUUGUUUUUUAAUUACAUUACAAUGGACUUAAACUGCAUGAUUUAUCUUGG